AACGAACGCUGGCGGCAUGCCUAACACAUGCAAGUCGAACGAGACCUUCGGGUCUAGUGGCGCACGGGUGCGUAACGCGUGGGAACCUGCACUUAGGUUCGGAAUAACUCCCCGAAAGGGGUGCUAAUACCGGAUAAUGUCUUCGGACCAAAGAUUUAUGGCCUUUGGAUGGGCCCGCGUUGGAUUAGAUAGUUGGUAGGGUAAAAGCCUACAAAGGCGACGAUCCAUAGCUGGUCUGAGAGGAGGAUCAGCCACACUGGGACAGGGACACGGCCCAGACUCCUACGGAAGGCAGCAGUGGGGAAUAUUGAACAAUGGGCGAAAGCCGGAUCCAGCAAGGCCGCGAGAGUGAUGAAUGCCUUAGGGUUGUAAAGCUCUGUUACCCGGGAUGAUAAUGACAGUACCGGGAGAAUAAGCACCGGCUAACUCCGU
rnacentral:rRNA from 1 species